GACGAACGCUGGCGGCGCGCUUAACACAUGCAAGUCGAACGGAAAGGCCCUGCUCUUGUUGGGUUCUCGAGUGGCGAACGGGUGAGUAACACGUGAGUAACCUGCCCUUGACUUUGGGAUAACUUCAGGAAACUGGGGCUAAUACCGGAUAUGAGCUCCUGCUGCAUGGGGGGGGUUGGAAAGUUUCGGCGGUUGGGGAUGGACUCGCGGGUUAUCAGCUUGUUGGUGGGGUAGUGGCGUACCAAGGGUUUGACGGGUAGCCGGCCUGAGAGGGUGACCGGCCACAUUGGGACUGAGAUACGGACCAGACUCCUACGGGAGGCAGCAGUGGGGAAUAUUGCACAAUGGGCGGAAGCCUGAUGCAGCAACGCCGCGUGCGGGAUGCCGGCCUUCGGGUUGUAAACCGCUUUCGCCUGUGAUGAAGCGUGAGUGACGGUAAUGGGUAAAGAAGCACCGGCUAACUACGUG
rnacentral:rRNA from 1 species